rnacentral:rRNA from 1 species
UACGUAUGGUGCAAGCGUUAUCCGGAAUCACUGGGCGUAAAGGGUACGUAGGCGGUUUUGCAAGUCAGAAGUGAAAGGCUACGGCUCAACCGUAGUAAGCUUUUGAAACUGCAAGACUAGAGUGCAGGAGAGGCAAGUGGAAUUCCUAGUGUAGAGGUGAAAUUCGUAGAUAUUAGGAGGAACACCAGUGGCGAAGGCGACUUGCUGGACUGUAACUGACGCUGAGGUACGAAAGCGUGGGGAGCGAACAGG